rnacentral:rRNA from 1 species
GAUCCUGGCUCAGGACGAACGCUGGCGGCGCGCCUAACACAUGCAAGUCGAACGAGAGAGAGGAAGCUUGCUUCCUCGAUCGAGUGGCGAACGGGUGAGUAACGCGUGAGGAACCUGCCUCAAAGAGGGGGACAACAGUUGGAAACGACUGCUAAUACCGCAUAAGCCCACGACCCGGCAUCGGGAAGAGGGAAAAGGAGCAAUCCGCUUUGAGAUGGCCUCGCGUCCGAUUAGCUAGUUGGUGAGG